GAAGGCGGGGACCCGGGCCCCGCGGGCCUGCAGCGCCCCCGCACCCGGUUCCACGCGCCCAGGGCCGCCCCCGCGGAGAGAGGGGGCGCGAGGGGCGCGCCUCUCGCUCGGACACCCUCUCCCAGCUCGCGCCCCAGGUAACUUAAACCCAAUUAUAAAUGGCUUUGGCUAUAAAGUGUUCUUGAAUGAAAACGUUUAGGAAGUAGGCCUGGAUUCAGAUGCUUCAGAGGCUCAAAGGUUUUCUAAUUGUUUAUGGAGAAGAUUGAUCUUCACAAGCUAGUUUUUUCAUAGGCAAAAGCAAAAGUCUCUUCCUGUGUUAUUAAGUGAAAAUGGCUGAUUAUAAAAAGGCCCUGGGUCAGGAGGUUGCCGAUUCCAGGAAGAAUCAGACCUUAUCCCUGCCCUUGAGUCUCAAGAAGAGGAAAGGAAAACAAAUAAGCAUAGUACAGUGUGAAAAGUGGGACUGUGGUCAAAUUUCAGUCUGCAAACUCAGAAUGGAUGAAAUAUGAAAGACUGACAACAUCAAGUUGUCAAGUAGGACAGGAUGUGGAACCACUGGAACUCAUACGUGACUGAUGGGAAUGCAAAAUGAUACCGAUCCCUUGGAAAACUCCUUGGCAACUUUAAUAAACAUAAAUCUACCCUAUGAUCCAGAAAUUCCACUCUGAGUCACGUCUCCAAGAGCAAUGAAAAUAUAUACCCACAAAAGACUGCACAUAAAUCAGAACAGCAUUGUUGAUAAUAGCCCAAACUGGAAACAACCUAAAUAUUCACCAAUAGAAGCCUGAAUAAAUUCAUACUGUGGGAUACUCUACAGCAAUGAGGUAGAUGAACUAUUACUGCCUACAACAACAUGAAAGAAAGUAAAAGUCACUACUUUGAUAAUUAUAAACACAAAAAAGUAAACAUAUCAUUCUAUUCAUAUGAAGAGUUAUCUAAAUAAUUAGUAAAAUUGAUCUAUGAUUUUAGAAGUGGUACCUCUGGAGGAGAAGGAGGGGUACUGUUACUGACUGAGAAGGGAGUUCUGGAAAAAUUCUAUACUUUGAUCUUUGGGAUGGUUACACAGAUGUAUAGACAGGCAAAAAUUCAUUGAACUUUACAUUUAUUAUUUGUACAUUUUACCAUAUGCAAAUUGUCCCUCAAUUUAAAAAAUCUCAUUUUCCUUAAAAAAACACAGAGGCAAACAUUUCAAAAACAAUAUCUCACCUUAGAUGAGAUAUAGAGGCAAGCAGGCAGCCCCACUAUGAGAGCCUGGAAAAGGCAUUAGACACACUGUGUGUGGGGUGCAGUAGGGACAGAGAGACACUCAAGGAGGGUUUCUUGUGGGAGGUGACAGCUAAACAUUGAAGGACCUGUACUGAAAGUCAAACAAAGAGAAGGCUAAGGGCAUUCCAGGCUCAAGGAAACAGCAUGCAAGGGCACUCACAGCAUCCCAAGAGAAGUUGACUGAGAGAAGGAGGGUGUGGGGAAGGGACAAAACGACGAAGCCACAGAUGUCAAUGGGAGUCAGAUCUGACAGCUCACAAGCCAAAGGGAGGCCCAAGGGAGGCCCCGCAGAGUUGUGAUUGGAGUUGGACUUUAAGGAGGCCACUCUGGAGGAAGGGAGGAAGGUGGUUUAGAGGUGGUUGCAGUAAUCCACAGAUGGGGUAUGGGGCCUGAACUAGCGCAGCGGCCAUGGGGAUUGGGGCUGGGAGAAGAGCUUCCAGAGAUACUUAGGAGGAAGACUUUGGUAACCAGCAGUAUAGCGGGACAGGAGAGGAAAUCGUUAAGGAAACUCAUGGGUUCUUGCCUUUCAUGGCAAGGUGGAGCUAUUUACUGAGAAAAAGAUAGGAAGAGCUACAUUUAUUUAUUUAUUUAUUAUAUAUUUUUUGAGAUGGAGUCUCACUCUGUCACCCAGGCUGGAGUGCAGUGGCGUGAUCUCGGCUCACUGCAACCUCUGCCUCCUGGGUUCAAGCAAUUCAGGAAGAGCUACAUUUAUAAGUGUUGUCGUGGUUGGCCAGAUGUUGUUUUUCUCUCUUUGGCUCCUGCUUCUGCUUUUGCUUUAGUCAGAACUGUGUUUGUCCCAGGAAGACCUGCUCCUCCCUGUUCUCAGGCUAUGUAGCUAAAGUGGUGAUGACCCCAUCUCUGGGCUGUAGGACAUAUGAUAAUGGCUUCUGGUUCCAGCUUGAAGUUGCUGCAAAAGACACGAUUUUAUUCUUUGCCAUGGCUGAGUAGUAUUCCAUGAUGUGUAUGUAUGUGUGUGGCGUGUGUGUGUGUGUAUAUAUAUGUCUAUAUGUAUAUAUACCUAUAGACGUAUGUCUAUAUGUCUAUAUGUAUAUAUACCUAUAGAUGUAUGUCUAUAUGUAUAUAUACACAUAUAGACAUAUAUAUACACACACACACACACACACACACAUAUACAUAUCACAUUUUUAGACCAAUUUUCCAUUGAUGGACACUUAGUUUGAUUCUAUGAUUUUGUUGUUGUGAAUAGUGCUGCAAUAAACAUACGCGUGCAGGUGUCUUUUUGAUACAACAAUUUAUUUUCCUCUGAGUAGAUACUCAGUAGUGAGAUUGCUGGAUCAAAGGGUAGUUCUAUUUUUAGUUCUUUGAGAAAUCUCCAUACUGGUUUCCAUAGAGGUUGUACUGAUUUACAUUCCCACCAACACUGUGUAAGUGGUCCCCUUUUUCUGCAUCCCUACCAUCAUCUGUUGGUUUUUGACUUUUUAGCAAUAGCCGUUCUGACUGGUGUAAGAUGACAUCUCAUUAUAGUUUCAAUUUGCAUUUCUCUGAUGAUUAGUGAUGUUAAGCAUUUUUUUAUAUUUUUUUGGCCACUUGUAUAUCUUUUGAAAAAUGUCUUUUCAUGGAGGACAUGCAUUUUGGGAUGGAGCUUGAAGAUACCUAAAAAAGAUCCGGCUUGAAGGGGGAGGAUGUGUUUCAGGAGGAGAGAACAGCACGAGCAAACCCUUGGAGGCAGGAAAGAAAAGGAAACACUCAGGGGAUGGUGGGUAGUCAGGUUGGCCUGACCACACUGGAGAAUGUGGGGGAGAUGAGUCUACCAGGCAGACUCAUCUGCAGGGGUCAGACCAGGGGUCACCAUUCAUCUACUACUCUACAAGGGAGACUGGAGGGGUUAGACCAGGCAGGCCUGGAAUGCCAGGGUGAGUUUGGAUUAACCCAACCAAUGAACCUGCGGACUAGAAUAGGCAUCUGGAAGUUCCAGGGAUGUUUGGGAAAACUUCGUGGGGAAUUUAAGGAAUCGCUUCCAGGGUCAGAGCUCCAUGUUGUUUUUCCCAUCAGCUUGCUCAGGAGUUGGAUAGAUGGUGAGCUCAGGGACUGGUGAACUGUCCCAGUAAUACAGCGUGGUAAUGUCCCUCCCUUCUCCUGCCCCAAGUCAUACAAGCCUUCUCAGGCUGGGACAUCUGGAGGUCUUGACCAAAAAGAACCAAGACCCUUGCCUUCUGCAGCCCACUCUCCACACAGCAGGUUGAGGGCCCUGUGGACACACAUCAGAUCACUCUUACUAAAAACCCUCCAGAGGCUUCUCACCCCACUUAGAAGCAACUUAGAAGCACCCCACUUAGAAACACCCCACUUAGAAGCAACUCCACACACCUCCCUUUGGCCUACAAGGCUUCACAUCAUCUGACCCCUGCGUCCCCUCUGUCCUCACCUCCUUUCACUGUUCCCUGGGCCCACUGUCCUCCAGCUCUUUGCAGCCCUGCAAACACAGCAAGCUUUUGUCCUGUCUUGGGGCCUUUGCACUCGCUGUUCUCUAUGCCUGGGACACUCAUCCCUUAGAUCUUGCCACGGACACCUCAUCAUCAUUCAAUCUUUUUUUUUUUUCCAAAACAGAGUCUUGCUCUGUUGCCCAGGCUGGAGUGCAGUGGCGUGAUCUUGGCACACUGCAACCUCCACCUACCUGGUACAAGCAAUUCUCCUGCCUCAGCCUCCCAGGUAGGUGGGAUUACAGGCACCUGCCACCAUGCUCAGCUAAUUUUUUGUAUUUUUGGUAGAGACAGGGUUUCACUGUGUUGGCCAAGCUGGUCUUGAACUCCUGACCUCGUGAUCUGCCUGUCUUGGCCUCCCAAAAUGCUGGAAUUACAGGCGUGAGCCACUGUGCCUGGCUUCAUCAUUCAGUCUUUGCUCACUUGUGGCUCGUUGGAGAAGACUUUCCUGGGUAAGGGUAGUGCUCCUGCUUAUCACUUGGCCUUCUUAGUCCUCAUUGCUAUCUCUGAUUGUCUUUUUUCUUUGUUUACUUAUUUAUUGUGUCUAAGCCUCCAUUUGAAUGUGAGUGACUCAAACACAGGGUUUCUGUCUUUUUCCUCACUGUACCCCCAGCACUUAGAGCAGUAACUGGCCCAGAGUAGGUCCUCAAUGAAUGGUAAUUGAAUGAACUAUCUGCAUAGGCAAGGUCCUUAGGCAAUUCUGCAAAUAAGGCAGCUGGGCCCAGAGAAGAGAAGGGACUUGUCAAAGGUGUCCUACAAAUCAAUGUCAGAGACAGACCUAGGCUCCAGGACUCCUGCCUCUAAGGUCAGUUCAUUUUCUGUAAUUCUCUUCCACCCGUUUCUGCCAAAGGGGCUGCCAGUCUUUGGUGAUUUUCCCUCUGUUGCAUAUGCCAGGGUAGAAAGAGCAGUGAACUAGAAGCCAGGGAACUUGGGACCUGGUCUAGCUCUGCUACCCACAUACCUUGUAGACCAAGGGGUCCUUGAGGGCAGAGGGCAUUACCCAUAUCUAGUACAGUUGGUGCUCAGACAAGGCUUGUUGAAAGAGUAAGAUUUUGUUUGCAUGAAGAUAGUGGGUGCCAACACAGGGCAGUGUUAAGAGCUGGGAACAGGAGCUAGGCAGACAUGAAUUCAAAUCUUGGCUAUGUCACUUUCUAGUUGCCCUACACGUGAUCACACAUGAAGAAUGUACAUAGCAUCAUCUAGGAUAGCUUGUGUCCAGGAUGGCCCUGACACUUUCUGGUAUUCAUGUUCUUGGGUAACCCACACUGAAUUAGGGCUGAUUUCCAUGACCAAUAGAAUACUGCAGAAGUGACAGUAUGUGACUUCUCUAUCUAGAUCAUGAAAGAUAGUGUGGCUUCCACUUUGGUCUCUUAUAUCACCUACUGGGGGAAGCCAGCUGCCAUGUUGUGAGGACACUCAAGAAGCUCUGUGGAGAGGCUCUUUUGAAGGAGAACCAAUGCCUCCCACCAACAGCCAGCAUCAACUUGGGACAUGUGAGUGAACCAAUUGGAAGUGGAUCCUCCAGCCAAGUCAAGCCUUCAGAUGACUGAAGCCCCAGCCUCAUGAGAGAUAGCAGGCUAAAACUGCCCAGCUAAGCUGCUCCUGAAAUCCUGACCCCCCAAAUUAUAAAAGACAAUAAAUUAUUAUUGUUGUUUUAAGCCA